UCAGGCCAAGUCAAAGAUGCUGCCCCAGCACAGGAUCAAGAUGAGCUGGAGCCAGAAAGCAAGAGGAGGAGAAAAGCCGAUGAUAAGCAAUAUGAUUUGGGCUUUCCACACACCUCCAGUACAGAAGUGGGUGGUUCAGCUAAGGGAGAUCUUGGAAGUUUUUUGUCUAACCCACCAGCAGCAGGGGCUAAGACGGACAAAAUGGAGGAGACCCUGACGUGUGUUAUUUGCCAGGACCUACUGCACGACUGUGUCAGCUUGCAGCCUUGCAUGCAUGUGUUCUGUGCUGCCUGCUACUCAGGCUGGAUGGAGCGAUCAUCUCUUUGCCCUACCUGUCGCUGCCCUGUGGAGAGGAUUUGUAAGAACCACAUCCUCAACAACCUGGUGGAGGCCUACCUCCUUCAGCA